AUAUGUCGCUAGGGGUGCCGGAUGGCUGAGAGAUGUAUAUCGAUCCUCACUACUUGAUAUGGUUAGUACCAUCGUAAGGAAGCAUUUAGUUAUGUAU
rnacentral:ncRNA from 2 species